UACGGAGGGGGCUAGCGUUGUUCGGAAUUACUGGGCGUAAAGGGCGCGUAGGCUGUGCUGUAAGUCAGGCGUGAAAUCCCCGGGCUCAACCUGGGAAUUGCGUUUGAUACUGCGGCGCUGGAAUGCAGGAGAGGAUGGCGGAAUUCCCAGUGUAGAGGUGAAAUUCGUAGAUAUUGGGAAGAACACCGGUGGCGAAGGCGGCCAUCUGGCCUGUAAUUGACGCUGAGGCGCGAAAGCGUGGGGAGCAAACAGG
rnacentral:rRNA from 1 species